GGCCUUUCGGGGUACACGAGCGGCGAACGGGUGAGUAACACGUGGGUGAUCUGCCCUGCACUCUGGGAUAAGCUUGGGAAACUGGGUCUAAUACCGGAUAUGACCACAUGAUGCAUGUGUUGUGGUGGAAAGAUUUAUCGGUGCAGGAUGGGCCCGCGGCCUAUCAGCUUGUUGGUGGGGUAAUGGCCUACCAAGGCGACGACGGGUAGCCGACCUGAGAGGGUGACCGGCCACACUGGGACUGAGACACGGCCCAGACUCCUACGGGAGGCAGCAGUGGGGAAUAUUGCACAAUGGGCGGAAGCCUGAUGCAGCGACGCCGCGUGAGGGAUGAAGGCCUUCGGGUUGUAAACCUCUUUCAGCAGGGACGAAGCGUGAGUGACGGUACCUGCAGAAGAAGCACCGGCUAACUACGUGCCAGCAGCCGCGGUAAUACGUAGGGUGCGAGCGUUGUCCGGAAUUACUGGGCGUAAAGAGUUCGUAGGCGGUUUGUCGCGUCGUUUGUGAAAACCCGGGGCUCAACUUCGGGCUUGCAGGCGAUACGGGCAGACUUGAGUGUUUCAGGGGAGACUGGAAUUCCUGGUGUAGCGGUGAAAUGCGCAGAUAUCAGGAGGAACACCGGUGGCGAAGGCGGGUCUCUGGGAAACAACUGACGCUGAGGAACGAAAGCGUGGGUAGCAAACAGGAUUAGAUACCC
rnacentral:rRNA from 1 species